UGGGGAAUUUUCCGCAAUGGGCUAACGCCUGACGGAGCAAUACCGCGUGAGGGAUGACGGCCUAUGGGUUGUAAACCUCUUUUUUCAGGGAGGAAUAAAUGACGUGUACCUGAAGAAUAAGCAUCGGCUAACUCCGUGCCAGCAGCCGCGGUAAGACGGAGGAUGCAAGUGUUAUCCGGAAUCACUGGGCGUAAAGCGUCUGUAGGUGGUUUAAUAAGUCAACUGUUAAAUCUUGAGGCUUAACUUCAAAAUCGCAGUCGAAACUAUUAGACUAGAGUAUAGUAGGGGUAAAGGGAAUUUCCAGUGGAGCGGUGAAAUGCGUAGAGAUUGGAAAGAACACCAAUGGCGAAGGCACUUUACUGGGCUAUUACUGACACUGAGAGACGAAAGCUAGGGUAGCAAAUGGGAUUAGAUACCCCAGUAGUCCUAGCCGUAAACGAUGGAUACUAGAUGUUGAACAGAUCGACCUGUGCAGUGUCAAAGCUAACGCGUUAAGUAU
rnacentral:rRNA from 1 species